UACGUAGGGUGCAAGCGUUGUCCGGAAUUAUUGGGCGUAAAGAGCGUGUAGGCGGCCCGAUUAGUCCGCUGUGAAAGUCCAGGGCUCAACCCUGGAAUGCCGGUGGAUACUGUCGGGCUAGAGUCCGGAAGGGGCGAGUGGAAUUCCUGGUGUAGCGGUGAAAUGACGCAGAUAUCAGGAGGAACACCAAUUGCGAAGGCAGCUCGCUGGGACGUAACUGACGCUGAGACGCGAAAGCGUGGGGAGCAAACAGG
rnacentral:rRNA from 1 species